rnacentral:rRNA from 1 species
CCUACGAGAGGCAGCAGUGAGGAAUAUUGGUCAAUGGUCGGGAGACUGAACCAGCCAAGCCGCGUGAGGGAUGAAGGUACAGAGUAUCGUAAACCUCUUUUGUCAGGGAACAAAGGCGGGGACGCGUCCCCGGAUGAGUGUACCUGAAGAAAAAGCAUCGGCUAACCCCGUGCCAGCAGCCGCGGUAAUACGGGGGAUGCGACUGUUAUCCGGUUUUAUGGGGUUUAAAGGGUGGGCAGGCGGUCUGUUAAGUAAGCGGUCAAAGACCGGGGAUCAACCCCGGCGCGCCGUUGAAACUGGCAGUCGCGAGUUGGAGAGAGGUAUGCGGAAUGCGCGGUGUAGCGGUGAAAUGCAUAGAUAUCGCGCAGAACUCCGAUUGCGAAGGCAGCAUGCUGGCUCCACACUGACGCUGAGGCACGAAAGCGUGGGUAUCGAACAGGAUUAGAUACCCUUGUAGUC